GACGAACGCUGGCGGCGUGCUUAACACAUGCAAGUCGAACGGAGUGGCGAACGGGUGAGUAACACGUGGGUGAUCUGCCUUGCACUUCGGGAUAAGCUUGGGAAACUGGGUCUAAUACCGGUUAGUGUAAGAUGAGCGCGCGGCCUAUCAGCUUGUUGGUGGGGUAAUGGCCUACCAAGGCGUCGACGGGUAGCCGGCCUGAGAGGGUGUACGGCCACAAGAGUACUGCGGGACGGCCCAGACUGCAACGGGGGACAGCAGGGGGGAGUCUGGCGCAACGAGCGGAAGCGUGAGACGACGGCGCUGGGUGGGGAAUGAAGGCCUUGGGGUUGUAAACUCCUUACGACAGAGACGCGGUACCUGCAUAAGAAGCACCGGCUAACUACGUGCCAGCAGCCGCGGUAAUAC
rnacentral:rRNA from 1 species